rnacentral:rRNA from 1 species
UACGAAGGGUGCUAGCGUUGUUCGGAAUCAUUGGGCGUAAAGCGUACGUAGGCGGUUUGGUAAGUCAGCUGUGAAAGCCCAGGGCUUAACUUUGGAAUUGCAGUUGAAACUAUCAAGCUAGAGUGUGGCGGGGGAUAGUGGAAUUCUUAGUGUAGGGGUGAAAUCCGUAGAUAUUAAGAGGAACACCGGUGGCGAAAGCGGCUAUCUACACCACAACUGACGCUAAUGUACGAAAGCAUGGGUAGCAAAC